AUAACUAUUCUGCACUUACCAGUGCCUCUGAGUGGGGCUAAUUUGAGACUUGUAACUACAAAAAAAACAGAAAGAAAAAGAAGCAAAGAAUGCCAGAACUGGAGAAGGCUUUAGAGGUCAUUUGGGCCAAACCUGUACCUGGUGUGUAGCAGUAGAACUGCGUACUGAUGGAGUUUUGGCUAUUUUAAAUAUGAGGCCAUUGUGUAUAACGAAACUAUGUAAUUGUUGGACCUGUACAUGUGUUUUGGCAAACGAAACCAAAAGCAUCUUCUUGAAUUAUUUGGAGCCUAGCAUAACCACCUCCAUAUUGACCUGUCUGUUACCCCAC